rnacentral:rRNA from 8 species
UUACAGAGGUCUCGUUAACCGAGAUCUCUCAAACGGAAUGAGUACAACGUGAAUCCUUUAACGAGGAUCGACUGGAGGGCAAGCCUGGUGCCAGCAGCCGCGGUAAUUCCAGCUCCAGUAGCGUAUAUUAAAGCUGUUGCGGUUAAAAAGCUCGUAGUUGGAUAUCAGUGCGUUUCGGUUCGGCAUGCCCGGUGCGUUAUGGCGUUCGCGCGAUGACGCCCGGGCUCCCAAAUGUCGGCCCAGCGCAUUCAAUGGCGUCGGACACAGCAGCCGCCUUUCGGGGGGGCCAGCUGGCGACUGGCGGUGUUACCUUGAACAAAUUAGAGUGCUCAAAGCAGGCUCGCAAUGCCUGUAUACAUAUUCAUGGAAUUGGAGAAUACGUCCCUGGCUCGAUUUGGUUGGUUUUGAGAGUCGAAGGGAAAUGAUUAAUAGGGACUGACGGAGGCAUUCGUAUUGCGACGCGAGGGGUGAAAUCCUGUG